UACGUAGGCAGCGAGCGUUGUUCGGAGUUACUGGGCGUAAAGGGUGUGUAGGCGGUUCUUUAAGUUUGGUGUGAAAUCUCCCGGCUCAACCGGGAGGGUGCGCCGAAUACUGAGGGACUAGAGUGCGGGAGAGGAAAGUGGAAUUCCAGGUGUAGCGGUGAAAUGCGUAGAUAUCUGGAGGAACACCGGUGGCGAAGGCGGCAUCCUGGACCAACACUGACGCUGAGGAGCGAAAGCCAGGGGAGCAAACGGG
rnacentral:rRNA from 1 species